CCUGAAAGUGAGCAGGGACCACUGCUGUGGAAGUUGUCCAUGCAGCAGCUGCUUUGUCAAGUACAAAGUCUUCUUGGAGGACUCAACCACACAUCUUUUGGAGGAAGCACGAGGCCUUGGAUCAUCAGCCUGCAGGAUACAGCUGUCAGGCUUAGAAAACUCUGCAUGGCUUAGUAGCCCUGACUGCACUGACCACUGAUCCACUGAGGAGCCGAUGUCUGCAGUUCUCAUCCUGGAGGGACAGGUAAGGGUG
rnacentral:lncRNA from 1 species